rnacentral:tRNA from 1 species
GCCGUGGUGGUGAAAUUGGUAGACACGCUAUCUUGAGGGGGUAGUGCCUCACGGUGUGCGGGUUCGAGUCCCGCCCACGGCA